AAUGGACAAUAAAACCACCGUCACUAACGACGACCUGCCCGAUUGUUGGAUUAAAAAACCAUCGAAAAGUCAUCCUGACCGCUCUUAUUAUUACAACACUGUCACGAAGCAGUCACAAUGGACAGUACCACUUUCCCCUGGUGAUAAACAGCGCAAACAUCAGUCGAGAGAUAAGGGACUAGCUGAAUCACCCAAGGGAAAUGAUAAAAAUGACGGGAAAAACCUCAAGAUCAGCAACAGUUCGAAACAGAUUAAGAAGAGCCAGGCAAAAACGCCAGCACAAGAUCGUCUCCAGAACUUGGCCAAAGAACUCAAAAAUACGUCGCCAGCUAAGCUCCGUGGGGGAAUGUGGCCGAACAAUUCAAAGAUGCAUCGCCAACUAAACUCCGCGGAGGGAAUGUGGCCGAGCAACUGAAACAUGUGACAUCAGAUCAGUAUCGUCUUCUGAAUUUCGGCAGAAAAAAUCGAACUGACUCGGAGCGGUUAAAUGUGAUAAAAAGGACCAGCAGUGGAGGCGAUGCCAAUAAAUCGAAGUUGAAAGACGUUCAAAAUGUCACCACACGAACGAUAAAUUUUAUCGCUCAACGGAAGUGCGUACACCACACAAACCAUCCACACCAAAUGACACCAACUUAUCCCAUUCAUCGGACGACAUACCUACCCUUUUUCCGCCGAGAACUCCUGGCCAGAACAGAUUGGAUCGACUGCGCCACAGUUUGAAUUCAGAAAAUGCGAACACACC